AAAGAGUAAUGAAAAGAAACCCACAUUUCAAGGAAUAGCAUAUCUAUCUAUUGUUGCACUAUAAUUUUUUAACAAAAGCGGCACAUUAGAAACCAUUUUCUCAAAUAAAAAAUUGAUUUUACAUUGAAAACUGUCAACGAUGAACAAUAAACAGUGCAUUCGUAUGACAACAAGAUAUGGACAAGUUAAUUCGUACGCUAGAAUUGUUCUCAAAUGUUUACAGAUAGGUUUGAUAUAUUUCAAAAUCUUUAUUUGUCACUAUUUUUUACAGUAUCAUCAACAAAGCAGCAUAAAAAAUUCAGUGAAGCCGUUAACAUUGUAAGAAUAAAAUAAUAUUCCGAAAAAAAAAGAAAGGAGCCUACAGCACCCCGGAUUCCCAUGUUGUCUCCAACCAUAGUACUAACGAGGCCCUCAGACGCUUAACUGCAGUGAUCGGACGGGAACUGGUGUUUUCGCCUAGGUGUG